CCUCCUACUUUCUCCCUCUCGAUCUCAAACCCUAACCCCACCAAUGCCUCUCCCCGAGGAGCUCGGUUAUCUCCCCGCUAAUGCCGGAAUUGACGUCAACCAUGCCGACAUCGCCGGUUAUCUCCUUUAGGAGCUCGGUCUCCUCUCCGAUCUCGCGUUGUUUCAUAUCAACUCGAAUCGAUUCUACGGCAAGAUCCCCCACAAGUUCGAUCGAUUGAAGCUCCUCUUCGAGCUCGAUGUCAGCAAUAAUCAAUUCGCCGGGAAAUUUCCGAGGGUAGUUCUCCGGCUGUCGUCCUUGAGGUACCUGGAUCUGAGAUACAAUAAAUACCGUUUCUUUGAGAUCACUUCCAAGUGGCAAACUUCAAAGGGUCGAAAACUUUAGAAAUCUCCUUGAUUGCAGCUUGAUUGUAGGUAUGGGGAGAUUAAGAUGUCUGAGAAUGGAUUUGAAAAUGAGCAGAAGGAUGAUUUAGAUCACGGCAUCACAAAGAAAGAUGCUUCCUCGGUAAUUCUUUCAUAAUAAUUUUGUAGUAUCAAGCGUAUGCUAGGGUUUAUUACUUAUUGUAAUUUUGUAUUGAAGCUUGCAAAGUUCAAAGUCUAAAAGGAAAAUAUCGGGGUGGCGGCUUAUUUCUAGUGUCCCAAGACUCCCAACCUAAAUGAAGCUUUGCAUGUAGGCGAAUCACUAUUAUUCUAGGCAAAUGAACCUGCUAACCUGUUAAUAUGUGCUAUCUACAACUUUAGUGAA